UACGGAGGGGGCUAGCGUUGUUCGGAAUUACUGGGCGUAAAGGGUGCGUAGGCGGCGCGGUAAGUCGGGUGUGAAAUCUCGGAGCUUAACUCCGAAACUGCAUUCGAUACUGCCGUGCUUGAGGACUGGAGAGGAGACUGGAAUUUACGGUGUAGCGGUGAAAUGCGUAGAUAUCGUAAGGAAGACCAGUGGCGAAGGCGGGUCUCUGGACAGUUCCUGACGCUGAGGCACGAAGGUCAGGGGAGCAAACGGG
rnacentral:rRNA from 1 species